UUAAAUAAUGGUCUGAUUGGAGACUGUGACCAUACAUUCAUGUUCCUUCUUCCAAAGUGUCCACGUUGGAGAACGCUAGGGCUGGUUGGAGGUUCAAGGAACAGGGACUAGAGGAGAGAAAUGAGAAAGGAAGAGAGAGGAAACAGUGGGAGAAGGAGGCAAGCAAGGUUGUGAGCAGAGAUGCAUGGAGACAAUGACCACCUAGAUGAGGAACAGGUUGACACGGCCUCAUUCCUGGUAACAUGUAGACAAGUUGAGGGUGGCAACAGGAUUUUGGAUGUCAGAGACCCACUUUUUCAUUACACAGUUGAAACACUGAGGCCCUGGGAAGUCCCUGGACUAAAGGACACCAGGGGUCCCAAUGCCAGGCUGUGAGGAGCACAGGGUCCCCUGGUCACAUCCUGACUCUAAGUCUCCCCUUUGCUUUCACACAGACUCUCCACAUGACUGCUGCCCUCAGACACCAGAAAACUUCAUGGAAGAUAUUGAAGAUUUGGAGAAAGAUAACAAGAAUACGGAGAUGUCAGAAAGCUCUUUGGUCAUCUUUGUGAAGAGUGCUUUUGGGAAUAUCAUCAAUGAUGAUGAAGAAGACCUGGAAGAGCAAGUGUGAACAUGGGACCUGAGUUGAAAAGGCUCUGCUCGGAAUCCCUGAAGACCUGGACCUGGAUGCCAUCCUGGACACCAGAGGGGAUGGAGCCCCCACAGCACCAGAAGCCUUAUCUGGACCAGAUCAAGGGAGGCCUCAUUGCUUCUCUCCCGAGGGUCCUCAUUUAGUAUAGUUUCACUUGUUAUGUUGUAUAGAUUUAGUAUUAGUUUUAUCUAUAUGUUUCAUGUCUAUCUGUAUGUUCUAUAUUUACAUGUAAGUUUUUUCAUUAAAAAUUUUUAUAUGUUACUUUUAAAAUACUCUUUUGUAAAACACACAUGCAUAGAGUAGCCCCCUCAACAGAGGUAGAACUUAAUCAAUUGUUGUAAACCAAUUACCUUAGUGUCCACCACCACGAUCACUCCCCUUGGUAUACAGUUCAGUCUUUGUUGUUAAGGAACUGCAGAUUUAGUUCUUACAUCUGUCCUACUGUCAUUGUCUUUAAGGAUUCUGUUUUCUCAUGUCUGUUCAUUCUACUAGUCAUAGGAGAUCAAUAUGAUCCUAGAACUUUCCUAACUUGCAUGUCAGGAUUUUUUGAAACUCAGGCUGCUUUUGUGGUAAAAAUUCAUGAUUCAUCAUUGCUCUCCUUUUGUAACUUAAGUGUGUUUCUCUUUUCUUCUAACAGAGAAUUUCUCUCCAAAAAGGCUCUUAAAAUUCUAGUUUUUAUUCCCUUAUAUUUCUCCUGCUCUUUUAUUCCAGCUGUGCAAAGGACUAUAUUCUCAUGGUGAACAUUUUGUCCCCAAAACUCAUUUAUUUUAUAAGGGGAGUUUGUAAGUCUUAAACUCUCUCACCUAGCUUUCUCAUCACCACAUCCCUCUUCUUUUUGGUAAUCACUUCUUUAUUCUCUGUAUCUAUGACUCCAUUACUGUUUGGUUAUUUUGGCUUAUUGGUUUUGAUUUUUGGUUUACAUGUUUAAGUGACAUCAUACUGUAUUGGUCACUCUAUUGGACUUAUUAUCCUUAUUAUCCUUAGCAUAAUACCCUCUAGCUCCAUCCAUGUUGUCACAAAUAACAAGAUUUCAUUCUUCUAUAUGGCUGAGUAAUAAUCCAUGCACACCACAUCUUAUGAAUUCAUCUCUUGAUACACACUUUGAAAAAAUACCCAUAGAUGGAAUUGCUUGAUCAUAAGGUAUUUCUAUUUUUAAAAUUUUGGGAAAACUCCAUACUUAGUGUAUAUGACUUAAGAUAUUCCCCAAAAUGCAACCUAAUACUUAAAGUUGGUAUUUCCUGUAACUGAAUUAUUUAGACUGACACUUGCACACCUAUAAAAACUGUAGAAGCAAUUUUACAUCAUCUUGAUUAGAAAGCAACUUUUGAUCUGUGUUGGAGAAGGCAAUGGCACCCCACUCCAGUACUCUUGCGUGGAAAAUCCCAUGGAUGGAGGAGCCUGGUAGGCUGCAGUCCAUGGGGUCGCUAAGAGUCAGACACGACUGAGCAAUUUUACUUUCACUUUUCACUUUCAUGCAUUGGAGAAGGAAAUGGCAACCCAUUCCAGUGUUCUUGCCUGGAAAAUCCCAGGGAUGGGGGAGCCUGGUGGGCUGCCGUCUAUGGGGUCGCACAGAGUCGGACAUGACUGAAGCGACUUACCAGCAGCAGAUCUGUGUUACUGGAUUAGUUGGGAGGAUCAAGUUUGGAAUGCAGAAUUAUGGAGAAAAGAGACACAGAAAGAGUGGAAAUGCAUAAAAGUGUAGAUUUUGCUACAGAGACCAAGUUCAUCCUGCUCACCACAUAACAGAACAAUAAAUCCAGAGACAAGCUGUUGCA
ensembl:lncRNA